rnacentral:lncRNA from 1 species
CCUACUUGUUGUAUUUCAUUGUCAAUCCUUUACUUCGGCUAUUGCACUUCAUACUAGGGUUGCAAUCCCCUUAAAGAAUCUAGUAAUGCUAGGAUUAAAUGUUUGUAUCUUUGAAGAAAAAAAAAAGGUAAAAUUUGUUAGUCGCCUAUUCAACCCCCUCACCCCCCUCUAACCGACCAUACCGAUCUUUCGGAGUAACUCCUGGAUCCUCUCCAUCAUUUCCAACGUGUCCUUCUAAACCCACAUUUUUCUACAUCUGAAACAUGUCUCGUGAAUAAUCAGCGCCAAUCUGUUCUGCUGCGGUAAAAAGAUCCAGAACUCCCACGUACACCGAUGAUCAGCACCUUCUCAGUUUCCAUUGGGCCAUCCGGCCCCACACCGUCAUCAAUCGAUCCUCCACGGUGAAUGUCGCA